UACAUGUGGGGCAAGCGUUGUUCGGAAUUACUGGGCAUAAAGGGUGCGUAGGUGGCUUGUUAAGUCAGGGGUGAAAGUUUUCGGCCCAACCGGAAAAUGGCCUUUGAUACUGGCGAGCUCGAGUGCGUGAGGGGUAACCGGAACGAGCAGUGUAGCGGUGAAAUGCGUAGAUAUUGCUCGGAAGGCCAACGGCGAAGGCAGGUUACUGGUGCGCAACUGACACUGAGGCACGAAAGCGUGGGGAGUAAACAGG
rnacentral:rRNA from 1 species